CCUACGGGUGGCAGCAGUGGGGAAUAUUGGACAAUGGGCGAAAGCCUGAUCCAGCCAUGCCGCGUGUGUGGAGAAGGCCUUCGGGUUGUAAAGCACUUUCAGUGGGGAAGAAAGCCUUGGGGCUAAUACCCUCGAGGAAGGACAUCACCCACAGAAGAAGCACCGGCUAACUCCGUGCCAGCAGCCGCGGUAAUACGGAGGGUGCGAGCGUUAAUCGGAAUUACUGGGCGUAAAGCGCGCGUAGGCGGUCUGAUAAGCCGGUUGUGAAAGCCCCGGGCUCAACCUGGGAACGGCAUCCGGAACUGUCAGGCUAGAGUGCAGGAGAGGAAGGUAGAAUUCCCGGUGUAGCGGUGAAAUGCGUAGAGAUCGGGAGGAAUACCAGUGGCGAAGGCGGCCUUCUGGACUGACACUGACGCUGAGGUGCGAAAGCGUGGGUAGCAAACAGGAUUAGAUACCCGAGUAGUC
rnacentral:rRNA from 1 species